AUCUCCACUACUGUACUGAAGUCACACACCAUCUUCAUGGGACUUGAAAUUUCCAGGAAUUACCUUUCUGAAAUGCUGGCAAUAAUUUCUUUACAUUCCAUCUCUUAGUUCUCCAUGGAAACAUCAGGAAACC
rnacentral:other from 1 species